AUUGAACGCUGGCGGAAUGCUUUACACAUGCAAGUCGAACGGCAGCACGGGGGCAACCCUGGUGGCGAGUGGCGAACGGGUGAGUAAUACAUCGGAACGUGCCCGGUCGUGGGGGAUAACGUAGCGAAAGUUACGCUAAUACCGCAUACGAUCUGAGGAUGAAAGCGGGGGACCUUCGGGCCUCGCGCGAUCGGAGCGGCCGUUGUCAGAUUAGGUAGUUGGUGGGGUAAAGGCCUACCAAGCCGACGAUCUGUAGCUGGUCUGAGAGGACGACCAGCCACACUGGGACUGAGACACGGCCCAGACUCCUACGGGAGGCAGCAGUGGGGAAUUUUGGACAAUGGGCGCAAGCCUGAUCCAGCCAUUCCGCGUGCAGGACGAAGGCCUUCGGGUUGUAAACUGCUUUUGUAUGGAACGAAAAGGCUCUGGCUAAUACCUGGGGCUCAUGACGGUACCGUAAGAAUAAGCACCGGCUAACUACGUG
rnacentral:rRNA from 1 species